rnacentral:rRNA from 1 species
AUUGAACGCUGGCGGCAUGCCUUACACAUGCAAGUCGAACGGCAGCACGGGAGCAAUCCUGGUGGCGAGUGGCGAACGGGUGAGUAAUAUAUCGGAACGUGCUCAGUCGUGGGGGAUAACGUAGCGAAAGCUACGCUAAUACCGCAUACGAUCUAUGGAUGAAAGCGGGGGAUCGCAAGACCUCGCGCGAUUGGAGCGGCCGAUAUCAGAUUAGGUAGUUGGUGAGGUAAAGGCUCACCAAGCCGACGAUCUGUAGCUGGUCUGAGAGGACGACCAGCCACACUGGGACUGAGACACGGCCCAGACUCCUACGGGAGGCAGCAGUGGGGAAUUUUGGACGAUGGGCGCAAGCCUGAUCCAGCAAUGCCGCGUGCAGGAUGAAGGCCUGGUGUAACUGCCUUGUACGGUAACGAAACGGUAGA